CCACAGCCUGGGCUCAGCAGUCACGCUCCCAUUGAAGUCAGUGGCAAGAUUUCUACUCACUUCAGAGAGUAAACAACUGCACAAGUUAACAUCAAGAGUUUUCUGCUGCUGUUGCUUUCAUAGCAGCUAGAACAAAAGUUCUCUCCAAUCCAUCUGAGUGAAGCCUACAUAAACAAGGACUUCUGCAGCUCUGUCAGAAGAAAAGCGUGACCAACUCCCGCAAACUGUGUGAAUCUGCAUGGCAGGCUCCAAAGCACGUUAACAUUGUUCCAUAGGAAUCCCAAAAGGCCCUGCAGGAGCCUGCAAACUGCAACAACAGAAUCCAACACUUCUUAGAGGAAAGCACAGAUUUAGUCUAAUUGAUUUUCAUAUGGGGAAUGUUCCAUAUUUGGGCAUUUUGCAUAAAGGCAAAAGUUUCAAAACAUCUGGAAACAGCAAAGUCCAGAAACACCAGGGAUCUCUGAGCUGUUAAUUUUGAAGUAAUGUAAAUUACUAUAGACCAACUCUGUAGGCCUUUGGGAAUCUAGCUAGACUUCACCAUUUUUAAUAUCUAGACUCCAUAUACUUUUGCUGGUAAGACUAUCCCAAGUGGGCCUAAAUGUCCAAACAGGAACCAAAUAUGCCCAGGUGACAAACUUGUACAAAGAAGUGGCUUGGGUGUGUGUGGUAAUUUAGUGGCACUUUUUAUUGGUUUGUAGCAUGAUGAAUGGAACUAGACAAAGAGGGUCAGGUUUCAGGAGAGACUUAAUUUGAUGUGUCACUAGGGGGCUCAGGAAUACAAGCAGAGGCCAAGCUCCUAUCUCCCCUUCUGUACAGCCUCAACAUGAAACACUGACCGCUCUGGAUACUCAGUAAAGAUCUUUCAUAUACUUCUGCUGCACCACUUAUUACUAAUGAAAAAUAGCCAAUGCAGAGGGCGGAGACAGAGACACACCAUUCCACAGAUAGCUCAGGACGGGAUUGUAUUCUCCUAUAUGUUCUCCUUUGAUCAAGGACUUUUUACUGAAAGAGCACAUUUAUCUGAGCAUUUACACUGUAUUAAUAUGCCAGGGAGAGAUCCAAAGCAAAGAAACUGGAAAAGGCCUCAGUACUUCAACUCUUUCAAAGAGAAAAUAUUAAACUUCCACUUGCCUUUCUUGUAUGUAAACUAUUCUAUGCUAUGAAUAGACCACCCUAUCUGACCCAUCCUGGGAAACUAGAGCCUUUGGAUUGCUUUGCUUAUGCCACAUCAAAAUUACACACAACAAAUUUUAAAGAAAUGUCACUAAACUGAUAACCAAGUGAGAAAAAGCAAGUAGUAACGUGUGGGAGCAAAGUGAAAAUGGGAAUAUCUAGGUGAGGUAAGGGGAUAAAUAACCAUCCAAUAUCCCCUAGAACCCAGAAUUUCUCUUAGGAACCCAACAUCUAAGAUCACUCAACUUCAACAAGGAAAGAAAAGCGUUAAAGAAUUAGUAACAAUAAGAGAGAGAGAAAAAAGAACCUUCACUCAAAUAACAAAAUUAUACUGAAUUUAAGAGAACUAUUCCCAUAUGGCACCUCUUAGAAGGAACCCAGUACUGUAAUACAAAUAUGACUUACUAUCAGGACAAAUGAGAUUUCUUUGAAGAUUUAUGGGUUUUCUGCUGAUGGUAAUGGCACAGUUUCCAUUGCCUCAUAUGGUAAUCUGUUGGCAUGGACUGUGCUCUGAAGUGCCUGGAUAGUAAAAACCCAAGAAACUGUCACAGUAAGAAUUACACCACAAGUUAUUGUUUUUAAGAGUAUCUGUCUGAGUGAAGGAACAGGAGUAACAGCAAGAGGAAGGCAGCUAGGUAGUCUCUGGAUAAGGGAAAGUCAAAUAACUGUGUCAAGUUAGUGUAUGCACUCAAGCAUGUUAGAUUACAGGCCACAUGAAAUGGUAAAUUCUAGAUAUCUGUUACUGCAUAUUGCUAAUUAUAUUAGGAAAGAAAUUUUACCUAUGUUAGUGAAAAUUAGCAAUACCUACAAUUAGUCAUCUCAUUUAAGAGAUAGAGAGGCGUGUUAAAAUUGUAUUUACAAGUGAGUAGGAGAUAUCCAUUUACUGUUACAUAUUCCUCCGUGACAAAGAAUUGCACCAUCAGCCAUCUUUUUGAGAAGGAGCAAGCGAAUGAGAGGGGAAAUCUACAGUCACUAACACAUGGCCAGACAGUCUCUCAUCCUUAACUUAGAACCCACCUGAACACCAGAGUUUUUAGAUUUAAACCAGAACCUUUGAGGAUCCAGUACCAUUUGGUUCAGGUAAAAAGCAAGUUCUGGAUGCUCUAAAAUUUAUCUUAUUCCUUAGCAGUAGAACAAGGAUUACUUUCAAACACUCUUAAUUGUUUACAUAGCUUUUACAGCUAAAUGGAUGUUUGUGCUAUAUUAUACUAAACUGAUAAUUUACUGAAAACAAAUUACAUUUCUUUUUGCAAUAAAUCAAAAAUAUUUCACACAACCCAACAUUUUUGGAGGGAAGAGAGGGAAAAGGGAAUGAUUUUAUGGUAUCAAAUAACUGUUGUUUCUUUUGUUCUAAUUGUGAUAUUUUCUCUUUUUUGCCAUUCUGAUGUGCAUGUCGAGCAAAAAAUAAACUAACAAACCAGAGAGACUUUCAGAAAUGCUCAGCACUGGCCUAACUCCACUCCAAUUGACAUCAAUGGCAAUACUGCCAUAGAUGUCAGUGGGUGCAUAGUUAAACCAACAAUGAACACUUUUGAAAAACCUGCCCUGAAAGUGUUAAGGGAUUAUUGUGAGGAUGCUAUCUCAAAUAUCACAAUACUUUUCCACAGCCAUUAUCAUGGAUUAAAUCCUGAACACAAAUCUCACAUGUAGGCCCAGUGAAGGUGUCGGAGUAGGCCCAGGGUAGGCUUUAACAUGUGAAGGAGACAACUUGAUUUCUACAAGACUACUUAUGGAUGUAAAUUAAGCAGGAUUUUGUCCCAGGAGUUGCUCUACAACAGUAGUUCUCAACCAAGGAUGGGGGAAUCAAACUAGGAGACAAAGGAUUCCCCCCAUAUGCUAAAGCUAUUUAAGGCAGGGGAGUGACAUCAUUGUGGUUCGUUCUUCACUGACUCCCUACCCAAGAAAGAAGACUGCUUGAAACACCUGAGAAACAAGAAGACUGAACUGGGGGGGAAGGGCUGAACCCAGGCUAGAGGUUGCCUACCCUGUGAAAGGAAUAACUGAGUUUUAAGCUGUAAGGAAGUGCAGCUUGCCUUCAAGAAUCCCUGCAA